rnacentral:rRNA from 1 species
UACGUAGGGUGCAAGCGUUGUCCGGAAUUAUUGGGCGUAAAGAGCUCGUAGGCGGUUUGUCGCGUCUGCUGUGAAAACUCGGGGCUUAACUCCGGGCCUGCAGUGGGUACGGGCAGACCAGAGUGCGGUAGGGGAGACUGGAAUUCCUGGUGUAGCGGUGAAAUGCGCAGAUAUCAGGAGGAACACCUAUAGCGAAGGCAGCUUGCUGGGACGUUACUGACGCUAAGGAGCGAAAGCGUGGGGAGCAAACAGG